rnacentral:tRNA from 1 species
GCAAUUGUGGUGUUAACGGCAACAUGUCUGACUUCCAAUCAGAAGCUGUGGGUUCGACUCCCACCAGUUGCA